rnacentral:rRNA from 1 species
UACGUAGGGGGCUAGCGUUGUCCGGAAUCAUUGGGCGUAAAGCGCGUGUAGGCGGUCCGGUAAGUCCGCUGUGAAAGUCGGGGGCUCAACCCUCGAAAGCCGGUGGAUACUGUCGGGCUAGAGUACGGAAGAGGCGAGUGGAAUUCCUGGUGUAGCGGUGAAAUGCGCAGAUAUCAGGAGGAACACCAAUUGCGAAGGCGGUUCUCUGGGACGGUACUGACGCUGAGACGCGAAAGCGUGGGGAGCGAACAGG